GACGAACGCUGGCGGCGUGCUUAACACAUGCAAGUCGAACGGAAAGGCCCUGCUUUUGUGGGGUGCUCGAGUGGCGAACGGGUGAGUAACACGUGAGUAACCUGCCCUUGACUUUGGGAUAACUUCAGGAAACUGGGGCUAAUACCGGAUAGGAGCUCCUGCGGCAUGGUGGGGGUUGGAAAGUUUCGGCGGUUGGGGAUGGACUCGCGGCUUAUCAGCUUGUUGGUGGGGUAGUGGCUUACCAAGGCUUUGACGGGUAGCCGGCCUGAGAGGGUGACCGGCCACAUUGGGACUGAGAUACGGCCCAGACGCCUACGGGAGGCAGCAGUGGGGAAUAUUGCACAAUGGGCGGAAGCCUGAUGCAGCAACGCCGCGUGCGGGAUGACGGCCUUCGGGUUGUAAACCGCUUUCGCCUGUGACAAGCGUGAGUGACGGUAAUGGGUAAAGAAGCACCGGCUAACUACGUG
rnacentral:rRNA from 1 species